rnacentral:rRNA from 1 species
GCACAAGCGGUGGAGCAUGUGGUUUAAUUCGACGCAACGCGAAGAACCUUACCAGGGCUUGACAUCCUCUGAAUCUCUUAGAAAUAGGAGAGUGCCUUUCGGGGAGCAGAGAGACAGGUGGUGCAUGGUUGUCGUCAGCUCGUGUCGUGAGAUGUUGGGUUAAGUCCCGCAACGAGCGCAACCCCUGUAUUUAGUUGCUAACGCGUAGUGGUGAGCACUCUAGAUAGACUGCCGGUGAUAAACCGGAGGAAGGUGGGGAUGACGUCAAAUCAUCAUGCCCCUUAUGUCCUGGGCUACACACGUGCUACAAUGGCCGGUACAGACGGAAGCGAAGCUGUGAAGUGGAGCCAAUCCGAGAAAGCCGGUCUCAGUUCGGAUUGCAGGCUGCAACUCGCCUGCAUGAAGUCGGAAUCGCUAGUAAUCGCAGGUCAGCAUACUGCGGUGAAUACGUUCCCGGGCCUUGUACACACCGCCCGUCACACCACGAAAGUCUGCAACACCCGAAGCCGGUGAGGUAACCUGAAAAGGAGCUAGCCGUCGAAGGUGGGGCCGAUGAUUGGGGUGAAGUCGUAACAAGGUAGCCGUAUCGGAAGGUGCGGCU